rnacentral:lncRNA from 1 species
UCACAAUAACGGGAUAUUACAUCGCUAUUGAUUUUUACGUGUCUAUAAUUAUUCCUACUUGCCGAUCACAUCUCACUUUGUUCGGCACGCCAUCAAUACAAGCUUUCCUAACAACAAUUCAAACUCAAUAUAUUUAGUGCCCACUUUAACCUUUCGAAGUAACUUCCGCCCAAACCCAUCUUAAUAUUUUUAUAAUAUUAACCAUAUUUACGGCAACAACAAUCAUUUCAAAUCUACUUAAUCAUUUUCCAAUUUCAUCCACAUUAUUCUCCCUUAUUUCUUCCAAUUAAUAUAACAUGUAACUUAACACUUCUAACUAAUUUAUGUAAAUAAAUUCCUCCGACAACAAUAAUUCCUCACAAUGAAUCAUUUCAAAAUUUUUUAACUAUAUUUAAAACACUAUUCAUUCAUCUCAUAUUUUCUUUUUUGCUUUAAUCCUAUGAAAAUCAUAAAAUAAUUUUUAAAUAUUAUAUUAAAACAACUUAAUUUAAUUCAUAUCAUCAAUAAUCUAAAUUUAGCUAAACAAGAUGGACUAGCCUCCAAAUAAUCUAAUUUCAUAACAAGUCCAAAAAAAAGAGCAAGGCAAUUUUUACCAAUUUGGGCUGGGUGGUCCAAAUCUCCACCUUUAUUCUCUUUCCCUUUCUAUUCCACCUUGUUCCAGCCGGCCUUCUCAUGAACCAGCACCCAUGGACAGCACAAGCUCUCUCUCUCCCUCACAUCAUUGGCAGCUUAAAGUCCCCUCCCUACUUCCACCGUUGGUUAGCUCUCUCUUUUUCCGCCAGCCACCACAACCCAAAUCUUUCUCUUUUCCUUCCUCCAAAUUCCAGCAAUUAACACCCUUGUUUUCCCCUAUCAAAAUCAGCUGCACAGCUCUUUCUUUCCUCUAUCAAAAAUCAGCUUCUUCCUCCCUUUUAUUUUUGUUCAAUAAAUGGCUUCCUCUUUUCCUUUUUUCACCGCCGGUCACCUUUCUUUCCUUCUUCUUCUUUCUUUUCUUCUUUCUUUGGCCGGC